CAAUGGGCGCAAAGCCUGAUGCAGCCAUGCMGCGUGUAUGAAGAAGGCCUUCGGGUUGUAAAGYACUUUCAGUCGUGAGGAAGGYGUUGUSGUUAAUAGMGGCAUCRUUUGACGUUAGCGACAGAAGAAGCACCGGCUAACUCCGUGCCAGCAGCCGCGGUAAUACGGAGGGUGCGAGCGUUAAUCGGAAUUACUGGGCGUAAAGCGCAWGCAGGUGGUUUGUUAAGUCAGAUGUGAAAGCCCGGGGCUCAACCUYGGAAUAGCAUUUGAAACUGGCAGACUAGAGUACUGUAGAGGGGGGUAGAAUUUCAGGUGUAGCGGUGAAAUGCGUAGAGAUYUGAAGGAAUACCGGUGGCGAAGGCGGCCCCCUGGACAGAUACUGACACUCAGAUGCGAAAGCGUGGGGAGCAAACAGGAUUAGAUACCCUGGUAGUCCACGCCGUAAACGAUGUCUACUUGGAGGUUGUGGCCUUGAGCCGUGGCUUUYGGAGCUAACGCGUUAAGUAGACCGCCUGGGGAGUACGGU
rnacentral:rRNA from 1 species